UACGUAGGGUGCGAGCGUUAAUCGGAAUUACUGGGCGUAAAGUGUGCGCAGGCGGCCGCGCAGGUCGAGUGUGAAAUCCCCGAGCUUAACUUGGGAAUUGCGCUCGAAACUACGUGGCUGGAGUGUGGCAGAGGAAGGUGGAAUUCCACAUGUAGCGGUGAAAUGCGUAGAUAUGUGGAGGAACACCGAUGGCGAAGGCAGCCUUCUGGGCCAACACUGACGCUCAUGCACGAAAGCGUGGGGAGCAAACAGG
rnacentral:rRNA from 1 species